AAAGGAAUUGACGGGGGCCCGCACAAGCAGUGGAGUAUGUGGUUUAAUUCGAAGCAACGCGAAGAACCUUACCAGGUCUUGACAUCCAACUAACGAGGCAGAGAUGCGUUAGGUGCCCUUCGGGGAAAGUUGAGACAGGUGGUGCAUGGUUGUCGUCAGCUCGUGUCGUGAGAUGUUGGGUUAAGUCCCGCAACGAGCGCAACCCUUAUCAUUAGUUGCUACGCAAGAGCACUCUAGUGAGACUGCCGUUGAUAAAACGGAGGAAGGUGGGGAUGACGUCAAAUCAUCAUGCCCCUUAUGACCUGGGCCACACACGUACUACAAUGGCCGUUAACAAAGUGAAGCGAUCCCGCGAGGGGGAGCAAAACACAAAAAACGGUCUCAGUUCGGAUUGCAGGCUGAAACUCGCCUGUAUGAAGUCGGAAUUGCUAGUAAUCGCGGAUCAGCAUGCCGCGGUGAAUACGUUCCCGGGCCUUGUACACACCGCCCGU
rnacentral:rRNA from 1 species